UACGAAGGGGACUAGCGUUGUUCGGAAUUACUGGGCGUAAAGCGCACGUAGGCGGCUUCGUAAGUCAGGGGUGAAAUCCCGGAGCUCAACUUCGGAACUGCCUUUGAUACAGCACGUCUUGAGUCCGGAAGAGGUGGGUGGAAUUCCUAGUGUAGAGGUGAAAUUCGUAGAUAUUAGGAAGAACACCGGUGGCGAAGGCGGCCCACUGGUCCGGUACUGACGCUGAGGUGCGAAAGCGUGGGGAGCAAACAGG
rnacentral:rRNA from 1 species